CGUAGGGGGCAAGCGUUGUCCGGAUUUAUUGGGCGUAAAGAGCUCGUAGGUGGUUCGGUAAGUCGGAUGUGAAAUCUCCAGGCUCAACCUGGAGGGGUCAUUCGAUACUGCCGUGACUAGAGGUCGGUAGGGGAGUGUGGAAUUCCUGGUGGAGCGGUGAAAUGCGCAGAUAUCAGGAGGAACACCCGUAGCGAAGGCGGCACUCUGGGCCGAUACUGACACUGAGGAGCGAAAGCGUGGGGAGCGAACAGG
rnacentral:rRNA from 1 species